rnacentral:rRNA from 1 species
UACAAAGGUCUCAAGCGUUGUUCGGAUUCAUUGGGCGUAAAGGGUGCGUAGGCGGCGCGGUAAGUCGGGUGUGAAAUCUCGGAGCUUAACUCCGAAACUGCAUUUCGAUACUGCCGUGCUUUGAGGACUGGAGAGGAGACUGGAAUUUACGGUGUAGCGGUGAAAUGCGUAGAUAUCGGGAGGAACACCAGUGGCGAAGGCGACUUCCUGGCCUGUUCUUGACGCUGAGGCGCGAAAAGCUAGGGGGGAGCAAAACGGG